GUAGUGGCUCAGUGGUAGAGCACUUGCCUGGAGUGUGUGAGGCCCUGGGUUCAAACCUCAUCACCACA
rnacentral:tRNA from 1 species